UACGAAGGGGGCUAGCGUUGCUCGGAAUGACUGGGCGUAAAGGGCGCGUAGGCGGCUCAUAUAGUCAGAUGUGAAAUUCCUGGGCUUAACCUGGGGGCUGCAUUUGAUACGUGUGGGCUUGAGUGAGGAAGAGGGUCGUGGAAUUCCCGAGUGUAGAGGUGAAAUUCGUAGAUAUUGGGAAAGAACACCCGGUGGCGAAGGCGGCGACCUGGUCCUUGAC
rnacentral:rRNA from 1 species